rnacentral:rRNA from 1 species
CCUACGGGAGGCAGCAGUGGGGAAUAUUGCACAAUGGGCGCAAGUCUGAUGCAGCAAUGCCGCGUGUGUGAAGAAGGCCUUAGGGUUGUAAAGCACUUUCAGACGUGAGGAAAAGUUAUAAGUUAAUAACUUAUAACCUUGACGUUAACGUCAGAAGAAGGACCGGCUAACUCCGUGCCAGCAGCCGCGGUAAUACGGAGGGUCCAAGCGUUAAUCGGAAUUACUGGGCGUAAAGCGCGCGUAGGCGGAUAUUUAAGUCAGAUGUGAAAUCCCUGGGCUCAACCUAGGAACUGCAUUUGAUACUGGGUAUCUAGAGUAUGGUAGAGGUGAGUGGAAUUUCAGGUGUAGCGGUGAAAUGCGUAGAGAUCUGAAGGAACAUCAGUGGCGAAGGCGACUCACUGGGCCAUUACUGACGCUGAGGUGCGAAAGCGUGGGUAGCAAACAGGAUUAGAUACCCUGGUAGUCCACGCCCUAAACGAUGUC